GACGAACGCUGGCGGCGUGCCUAAUACAUGCAAGUCGAGCGAAGUUUUUCUGGUGCUUGCACUAGAAAAACUUAGCGGCGAACGGGUGAGUAACACGUAAGGAACCUGCCUCAUAGACUGGGACAACUAUUGGAAACGAUAGCUAAUACCGGAUAACAGUAUUUCUCGCAUGGGAGAUAUUUAAAAGUUGGUUAUGCUAACACUAUGAGAUGGCUUUGCGGUGCAUUAGCUAGUUGGUGGGGUAAAGGCCCACCAAGGCGACGAUGCAUAGCCGACCCGAGAGGGUGAUCGGCCACACUGGGACUGAGACACGGCCCAGACUCCUACGGGAGGCAGCAGUAGGGAAUCUUCCGCAAUGGGCGAAAGCCUGACGGAGCAACGCCGCGUGAGUGAAGAAGGAUUUCGGUUCGUAAAGCUCUGUUGUUAGGGAAGAAUGGAUAUGUAGUAACUAUACAUGUACGAGACG
rnacentral:rRNA from 1 species